GUAGGUGGCAAGCGUUGUCCGGAAUUAUUGGGCGUAAAGCGCGCGCAGGCGGUCCUUUAAGUCUGAUGUGAAAGCCCACGGCUCAACCGUGGAGGGUUAUUGGAAACUGGGGGACUUGAGUACAGAAGAGGAAAGCGGAAUUCCAAGUGUAGCGGUGAAAUGCGUAGAGAUUUGGAGGAACACCAGUGGCGAAGGCGGCUUUCUGGUCUGUAACUGACGCUGAGGCGCGAAAGCGUGGGGAGCAAACAGGAUUAGAUACCCUGGUAGUCCACGCCGUAAACGAUGAGUGCUAAGUGUUAGGGGGUUUCCCGCCCCCUUAGUGCUGCAGCUGACGCAUUAAGCACUCCGCCUGGGGAUACGGCCGCAAGGCUG
rnacentral:rRNA from 1 species